GACCGGUGUCAGCCUUUCGAUCAAAAAAUUCGGCAGGGAGGUAUUUUAAAAUACCUCAUAGUUGAUUCCGAGUCGGGCCCUCUUCUCUCAAUUUUCAUUUAAUUUUAAUUUCCAUCUUUUAUUAACUUUAAAUUCAUUUCAUUUUUAACCUUUAUUUUAUGUUAUUUUUGUUUCAUUUAUUCUUAGUCCUUUUAUUUUAUUUUUAAUGUCCAAAAAUAAAUCAGAAUUUUGUCCGAUAAUAUCCAAAUAAACAGCUCACAAACAGCUCAUUCACAACUGUCAAUUUCUUCUCCAAGCAACAAAAUAUCGUGUUCCUCUCCAAGCAACAGAAAUUCAGCUCUAUAAAUAUAACCACCUGCACAN
rnacentral:lncRNA from 1 species